rnacentral:rRNA from 1 species
GGGACUGCAGCAGACGACCCGCGACACGUUCAAACACCGGGGGAGCAGCGCGGCGCGGGUGCUUCGGCGUCCCUCCGCGCGCGUUCCCCCUCGUCCCCGGCUCGUUC